rnacentral:rRNA from 1 species
AUGGGGGAUAAAGAAAAGGAUCGUUUAAGGCUGAGAACUACGAUUGCGGUUGUAAAGUGGCUCACAUUUCAGUCUUGUGCUUUAAGAGGCCAUGAUGAGAGGCCGGAGUCAAGAAACAGAGGUAACUUUCUUGAGAUGUUGAAGCUUCUUGCAGAAUUCUGCCCUGAUGUUCAAGUUGUAGUUCUUGGCAAUGCUCCACAAGUUUGCAAAUACACAUCACACGAAAUUCAAAAUGAGAUCUUGAGCAUUUAUGCUAUGAAAGUCAGGGAGCAUAUUCGAGCAGAAAUUGGGGACUCAAAGUACUCUAUUCUUGUGGAUGAAACAUGUGAUGUGUCCAAAAGAGAGCAAAUGGCACUAGUUUUCAGAUUUGUUGAUAAAGAUGGUUAUUCCCAAGAAAGAUUCUUUCAUCUCAUACAUGUAUCCAACACAAAAGCACUGACACUAAAGAUGGAGUUGUGUAAAGUAUUAUCCAAGCAUGGAUUUGAUGUACAAAAUCUUCGAGGCCAGGGGUACGAUGGGGCAAGCAACAUGAGGGGAGAGUUGAAUGGAUUGCAAGCUCUAUUCAUUAAAGAUUGUCCCUAUGCAUAUUAUGUUCAUUGCUAUCCUCAUCGGUUGCAACUCUCCCUUGUUGGUGCAGCAAGAGAUGUGGUUCCAAUCACCCAAUUUUUUCAGAAACUUCACUUUGUUAUGAACACAGUUGACUCCUCUUCAAAGCGACAUGAUGAGUUGCAUGACGCCCAGGUGGUUGAGAUUGCACGCUUGCUUGCUAUCGAUCAGAUUGAAACAGGCAAAGGAGCCAAUCAAAUACGCUCAUUGAAGUGA